rnacentral:rRNA from 1 species
ACUCAAAUGAAUAGACGGGGACCCGCACAAGCAGCGGAGCGUGUGGUUUAAUUCGAAGCAACGCGAAGCACCUUACCAGGGCUUGACAUGCACGUGAUCGGCGUGGAAACACGCUUCUCUUCGGAGCAGGUGCACAGGUGCUGCAUGGCUGUCGUCAGCUCGUGUCGUGAGAUGUUGGGUUAAGUCCCGCAACGAGCGCAACCCUCGUCGUCGGUUAUCGGUGUCCGAGGAAACUGCCACGUUCAACGUGGAGGAAGGUGGGGAUGACGUCAAGUCAGCACGGCCCUUACGUCCUGGGCCACACACACGCUACAAUGGCCGUGACAACGAGUUGCCAACCCGCAAGGGGGAGCCAAUCUUAGCAAACACGGUCUCAGUUCAGAUUGGAGGCUGCAACCCGCCUCCAUGAAGUCGGAGUUGCUAGUAACCGGGAGUCAGCACAUCCCGGUGAAUACGUUCCCGGGUCUUGUACACACCGCCCGU